CAGUAUCUCCCUCCUCCUAGCUUCCCGGUGGUUAGGGAUCUAGGAAGUGACUGGGCAAGGAGAGGGACUUGACAAUGGAAAUAGGAACUCAAGGAGAUCUGUGGGAAGAUGGUCCACGGCAGAAGGCCACGGCUUGAUUACUGCCGUGCAGAAUAAGCAGCAAAAGAAGAACAGUGAAAAAAGAGCAUGGUGAAUCGGCGGCAGACCUUGACGGUAAAUCAGCUGCGUCCAGAGUCAACAAGGGGCAGGAGGGUUUGCUGGCAACACUAACCCCUUCUGCUGUGUGUUCUCCUGAGCCUAGGGGUGGCCUACUCAGGCAGACACCACCAGGCUGCGAAGUAUGCAUGAAGAACAAAUCAUAACCACAAAAAUGUACUCAGAGGUGGCUGACCAGCCUGAAGGCACAGGUCUUGGAGUUCGCAUAACUUGGGACUGAGUGAGAGUUUUGAGAAUCUGUUGCCAGCCCCACUCCAUCUCUGCACAUGACAGUCACCCUGACACCCUGAUGGUCUUCAGAUUAUGCAGCCCAAACACUCUGAAAAAGGCAUGCUGGAGGAGUUGAUGGACAGGCACUGAGGAUCAACUCUCUGUAUCUAUCACAGCCCCUGGGAUUAAAGUCAAGGUAUGAUGCAGAGGCACUAAUCACCACUUAGCUGGACAUCUCCUUUAUCUAGCACAGAGAUGGCCUUCUGAUGAAGACUGUCUACUAGAUGAUUACAACCUCCAGUGUGUAUUUACCAUCUGAGACAGGCCUUGUCUGGCCUCUAACUCUUGUUCUACCUCCGUAGCGUGCAGGCACUUACAAAGUUAAACAUUCCUGCAAACCAAUGAUGCCAGCAGAAGUGGUGAAUGCAGGAGAUGCCUUCCAGGCAGGCCUGGUCUACGUUUGCCUGUCUUGGUAUUCUGGACAACAACUCUACAAUCUCUGUAGGCAAGUACACACACAGUAUGCACCUGGACAUUAUCCCAACUAGACAUGUAGAUGUCCUUUACUCAGGAGACUCCAGAACAUUCUGAAAUUGCCUGCAUUUAGUCUUCUUUCCACCAUUGUUUUGGAAUCCAAUCUUCUUCAAGAGGAAAGAAUGCUUAUUUGGUCCUAUAGGAGGUCCUGAAGAUAUUGGCAGCUAACCAGUGAAAUCAUUUUGUUUUAGAGUUUGGAUACGAAGUGUUCCCUCAAAGACUCUUAUGUUUUGAAGGCUUAGUCCCUGCUACAAGGAUGUUCAGAGUGACUUUGGGGAAAUGAUGGGUUCAUGAGGGCUCUGACUUGCUGAAUGGAUUAAUCUCCUGAUGAAUUCCUAA